AGACUGGCCCUGCAUGAGAAUAAAACUGUUGGGUCCCGGCGGAAGGAUACAGGGACUCGGGGAAAGGAGGUGAAGGGGAGUGAGGACUGGUCAGUUGGCAGUUGAGCAACGGAUGAGAGAGGGUCUGAGCUAACGAAGCAGGGGGAAGCGCUGUAAGACUACGGAGCUGGAGGACAGGGUUUGGUCUCCCUUCGCGAUCAGCGACUCUCACCCGGUGUUUGGCACCCAGCAGCAGUAGCGAUGUGAGCUCUCCCUCGGCAGCAGUGAGCGGAAAAUCCACGCCGGCGGGACCCGGGACGCAAGCCUCCAGCGCCGGUGGUGAGGAGCUGAGCUGAGGCGGCUGGCAGUGACGCAGAGAUCCGGAGGGAGAGGAGAGGAGCGGCCUGUUGGCACAGCACACAGAGAGUCAAGCUACCUGCAAAUAGCAAUAAGUGCACUUAUUAAACAGACUGAAAAGUAGUAAAAAACACACUGCAGUGUAAUUCAGCAUUGAUUCAACACGUUCAUCUAGAAGUCCGGAGGCAGCAAUCAACACAACUAGUAAGCAUCGAUAGGAGAGGAGAUUGUAUUGCAGUUAAGAGCUAUCACAUUUCCGUCAGGAAUCAAGUCUCUGCUACCCUACUAUGCUAACAACAAAGAGAGGGAGUCAGUGUAAUACGUCCAAAAGUCAGGAGAGUGAACUGAAUCCGUCAAGUUACAUAGAUGUGCAUGUCCACCCAGUGAGAGAGGAAUACCAGUGACUUGGUAAUGGAGUGACUAAUACAUACCUUCAUUAAGACACUCACAGGGCGUUUUACAGAUCUCAACAGUAAAUUCUGAACAAGAGACUAUAGCUCGGACGGGAAUUAAUUGUGAUAGAUCCACUGAGGGACAUCACCCAUAUUAAAGUGGUAACUGUAUUCGUCCAUCGUUAAGGACAAGUUCAAUUAACAUGAUAAAAGUAGUACCCAAUUGAA